GUGGGGAAUUUUGGACAAUGGGCGCAAGCCUGAUCCAGCAAUGCCGCGUGCAGGAAGAAGGCCUUCGGGUUGUAAACUGCUUUUGUACGGAACGAAACGGUCCGGGUUAAUACCCUGGGCUAAUGACGGUACCGUAAGAAUAAGCACCGGCUAACUACGUGCCAGCAGCCGCGGUAAUACGUAGGGUGCAAGCGUUAAUCGGAAUUACUGGGCGUAAAGCGUGCGCAGGCGGUUUUGUAAGACAGGCGUGAAAUCCCCGGGCUCAACCUGGAAAUUGCGCUUGUGACUGCAAGGCUGGAGUGCGGCAGAGGGGGAUGGAAUUCCGCGUGUAGCAGUGAAAUGCGUAGAUAUGCGGAGGAACACCGAUGGCGAAGGCAAUCCCCUGGGCCUGCACUGACGCUCAUGCACGAAAGCGUGGGGAGCAAACAGGAUUAGAAACCCUUGUAGUCC
rnacentral:rRNA from 1 species